GUAUUUGAUUUAAAAUUGUCUUAUAGCAAGCCCAAUCUCAUCUGAUCUCAGAAGCUAAGCAGGGUUGGGCCUGGUUAGUACUUGGAUGGGAGACCACCUAGGAAGACCAGGUGCUGUAGGCA
rnacentral:rRNA from 1 species